rnacentral:tRNA from 1 species
GAGAGAGGCUAGCCAGCAAUGAAAACUGCUAAUCUUCACUUCCUUGGUUGAACCCCGGGGCUCACUCG